GACCGUUCUGGUGGCCUAGUGAUUAAAGCGUUGACCUCAGAUGCGGGAGAUCGUGGGUUCGAUCCCCGGCUGAGUCA